rnacentral:rRNA from 1 species
GAUGAACGCUGGCGGCGUGCCUAAUACAUGCAAGUCGAGCGAACAGACGAGGAGCUUGCUCCUCUGACGUUAGCGGCGGACGGGUGAGUAACACGUGGAUAACCUACCUAUAAGACUGGGAUAACUUCGGGAAACCGGAGCUAAUACCGGAUAAUAUAUUGAACCGCAUGGUUCAAUAGUGAAAGACGGUUUUGCUGUCACUUAUAGAUGGAUCCGCGCCGCAUUAGCUAGUUGGUAAGGUAACGGCUUACCAAGGCAACGAUGCGUAGCCGACCUGAGAGGGUGAUCGGCCACACUGGAACUGAGACACGGUCCACACUCCUACGGGAGGCAGCAGUAGGGACUCUUCCGCAAUGGGCGAAAGCCUGACGGAGCACCGCCGCGUGAGUGAUGAAGGUCUUCGGAUCGUAAAACUCUGUUAUUCGGGAAGAACAAAUGUGUAAGUAACUAUGCACGUCUUGACGGUACCUAAUCAGAAAGCCACGGCUAACUCCGUG